rnacentral:rRNA from 1 species
AUGAACGCUGGCGGCGUGCCUAAUACAUGCAAGUCGAGCGAACAGACGAGGAGCUUGCUCCUCUGACGUUAGCGGCGGACGGGUGAGUAACACGUGGAUAACCUACCUAUAAGACUGGGAUAACUUCGGGAAACCGGAGCUAAUACCGGAUAAUAUAUUGAACCGCAUGGUUCAAUAGUGAAAGACGGUUUUGCUGUCACUUAUAGAUGGAUCCGCGCCGCAUUAGCUAGUUGGUAAGGUAACGGCUUACCAAGGCAACGAUGCGUAGCCGACCUAAGAGGGUGAUCGGCCACACUGGAACUGAGACACGGUCCAGACUCCUACGGGAGGCAGCAGUAGGGAAUCUUCCGCAAUGGGCGAAAGCCUGACGGAGCAACGCCGCGUGAGUGAUGAAGGUCUUCGGAUCGUAAAACUCUGUUAUUAGGGAAGAACAAAUGUGUAAGUAACUAUGCACGUCUUGACGGUACCUAAUCAGAAAGCCACGGCUAACUACGUG